UAGGGAAUCUUCCGCAAUGGGCGAAAGCCUGACGGAGCAACGCCGCGUGAGUGAUGAAGGUCUUCGGAUCGUAAAACUCUGUUAUUAGGGAAGAACAAAUGUGUAAGUAACUAUGCACGUCUUGACGGUACCUAAUCAGAAAGCCACGGCUAACUACGUGCCAGCAGCCGCGGUAAUACGUAGGUGGCAAGCGUUAUCCGGAAUUAUUGGGCGUAAAGCGCGCGUAGGCGGUUUUUUAAGUCUGAUGUGAAAGUCCACGGCUCAACCGUGGAGGGUCAUUGGAAACUGGAAAACUGGAGUGCAGAAGAGGAAAGUGGAAUUCCAUGUGUAGCGGUGAAAUGCGCAGAGAUAUGGAGGAACACCAGUGGCGAAGGCGACUUUCUGGUCUGUAACUGACGCUGAUGUGCGAAAGCGUGGGGAUCAAACAGG
rnacentral:rRNA from 1 species